ACGAACGCUGGCGGCGUGCUUAACCCCUGCCAGUCGCACGGAAAGGCCUCUUUCGGGGGGUACUCGAGUGGCGAACGGGUGAGUAACACGUGAGUAACCUGCCCUUGACUUUGGGAUAACUUCAGGAAACUGGGGCUAAUACCGGAUAGGAGCUCCUGCUGCAUGGUGGGGGUGGGAAAGUUUCGGCGGUUGGGGAUGGGCUCGCGGCUUAUCAGCUUGUUGGUGGGGUAGUGGCUUACCAAGGCUUUGGCGGGUAGCCGGCCUGGGAGGGUGACCGGCCCCAUUGGGACUGGGGUUCGGCCCAGACUCCUACGGGAGGCAGCAGUGGGGAAUAUUGCCCAAUGGGUGGAAGCCUGAUGCAGCAACGCCGUGUGCGGGAUGACGGCCUUCGGGUUGUAAACCGCUUUCGCUCAUGACGAAGCUUUGUGUGACGGUAGUGGGUAAAGAAGCACCGGCUAACUACGUG
rnacentral:rRNA from 1 species